rfam:Aedes albopictus isolate Foshan contig48036, whole genome shotgun sequence.
CAAACGGUUCUUCUCAGGACCAUCGAAAAUUAUUCCUCGAGAGUUGU